UGGCGAGGUGUUGAAAGAGGAAGCACAGCGUGUGCUAAUGCUGCUGCUGUUGUGUAAAGAAUGCAGGCAGCCGGACCACUGAAGGUAAAACAGCAGAUUAGAAACAGUUGUGGGUAUGAUAGGAAACCCCGGUCUGCUGGCUGCAGCGCUGACGGUUGUGUCGGUGGUGUCGCUGAGCGCGCUGUGUGCUCUCUGCCUGCGAUGCAGAAAGAAAUCCACGAUCAUACAUGAGGAGCAUCAAAUAUACGACCCACAGACGUUUCAGCGUGGGGGGAGCAGGUUUGCUGUGACGCGAUC